UACGUAGGUGGCAAGCGUUGUCCGGAAUUAUUGGGCGUAAAGCGCGCGCAGGCGGUCCUUUAAGUCUGAUGUGAAAGCCCACGGCUCAACCGUGGAGGGUCAUUGGAAACUGGGGGGACUUGAGUGCAGGAGAGAAGAGUGGAAUUCCACGUGUAGCGGUGAAAUGCGUAGAGAUGUGGAGGAACACCAGUGGCGAAGGCGACUCUUGGCCUGUAACUGACGCUGAGGCGCGAAAGCGUGGGGAGCAACAGG
rnacentral:rRNA from 1 species